rnacentral:siRNA from 1 species
UCAAUUUAGGCUGUCGUGACUCG